rnacentral:piRNA from 1 species
UUAAUUUGAAGUUACCUAAUA